UUUGCAGUGGCAAUUAAUUAUUUUGUUAUAAGUUGCCUUGGCUCUUUUUAAAGAGGAGGAGGAGGAGGAGGAGGAGGAGGAUGUCUUCCCAGGAUAGAAGCUACUACAGCAAUUUACAAUCUUGUAUCCUGGUCCUAAACAUACAUUUCAAUGGAACUUCAUUUCUAGUGAAUGUGUUUAUGUUCUAAGCAGUUGGUCUUGUAGCAUGUGUAUUGGCAAUAGCAGUGCAGUUGUGGCUGUGCUGCCGGAAGAUAAAUGGGGCUUGAGGAAUGCUGAACAGUGCCAGCCAAAUUCUGCAGAUCCGUCUGUUGUUUAAGGUUGUAACACGGCAGAACCUGGGGGAAGGAGCUAGCUGGCGAUUGUGAGUAUUGUGUGGAUCAAGGAACAAGAUCUGUUCAGUUCUGUCAGUCAACAGUCUUUUCCAGAAGAUGACCUAUUGAACAUUUCCAGGAAUAGCUGUGCCAAGCUUGUCAACUGCUUUCUUGGAAAUACACUCAAGAAAAAUGGCUCCAGGCCAACUGCGAUGUACAGAAAUCCCGGACUGGAUCGAGGGCUAUACUUAGAUGAGGAGAUAGCUGAUUUUCACAGCUGCUGUUUUGUGAUUUGGAGCUUUUAGGGAUUAAUAGAGAAAACUGUUAUUCAAAUAAGUUCUUGGAACCUGAAGCAGGGAAGGAAAUUUUGGUGAGCAUAUUUCUGCCUGCUCCAAGUGAAGUGAAUGGGGAAGCCCUUGCAGAAGGGAGAGGUCCCUGUUGUGCAUUUGAGCUACUGCACCCACAAGAAGUUAUGAAGAGUUUAAGAAAGGUUGUGAUAUUCUGAUCCCGACAAAGCAGUUGUUGUGAAACAGUAAUCACUCCAAAGUGGAGGAAGAUGCUCAGAGAUAUGGAAGGCAGCAGCUUUGAUUAAUUCCUGGAACGGGUAAUGUGGCUUCCGUUAUAUGAAAACUGAAAGGAAAAUGCUUCUCUGAUUCAUGGCACUAGGAAUUUGGAAUAUCCUUAGUGACUUCAAAGAAAUUGUUUUUGAUGAAUACUACUGUAAAUGAAACCAGACCAUGGAGGAGUCUCAACAAUGCCCCCAUGAAGAUGUUUGAUGUGGGAACAUUUUGAAGUGGAGAAGUAAAUCUAGAGACACCCAGCUUGCCCCCUCCCUCUGGCUGGAGAGGUGGUGGUUAAGAUGAGUCAUUUUCUGAAGGCAGGGCUCAGUGAGCAGAAGGUGGAUCGGGCUCUGUGGUAGAUCUUUGGGAUACAUUGAUGAGGAUUUCUGUCUCCCAGCUGUUUAACUGUGGCAAGAAGAUGCCCCCCACACCAAGAUAGUUACACUACUAAAAUGAAGAAGGCUGGGUUGGUGGGGGAUAUAACCACGAGUGGAUUUUGUGGGAAAGGACUGUGACAGUUCAGUUUUGGUACUCAGAACAAGUUCCUGGGCUCAGAAUUCUUUAUUCCUGGCUCUGUUUGAUGGAUCAUAGAGUCCUGGUAAAAGACAAAGUAGAUCCUGUAUAUCAACACUACUAGCACCAUUAAAGCUCUCCUGCCCAAGUCCCCCAAACUUACAACCAUAUACUUCCUGCCCUCAGGGGUAGCUGGGGUAAUAAUGAUAGCCAACAGUUUUGUGGCAUUUAAAAUACUAAGAAAUGUAUUAUAGCUUGGCAUAAGCUUGUGAAAGCCAGAACAUAUCCCAUCGGAUGCAUGAAGUAAUUUGCUAAGCUGGAAGGAUAUACUCGUAUGAUUACAGAUUAUUAUUAUUAUUUUCACAGAUUAUGCCAAAAGGCCAAGAAAAUUUCCCGUCUUCAUUUUUAAGCCUUAACUAUUCUGACAAAUGGAGUAAAUUAAAAUAUUCC